rnacentral:rRNA from 1 species
UACGUAGGGUGCAAGCGUUGUCCGGAAUUAUUGGGCGUAAAGAGCUCGUAGGUGGUUUGUCGCGUUGUCCGUGAAAACUCACAGCUCAACUGUGGGCGUGCGGGCGAUACGGGGCAGACUGGAGUACUGCAGGGGAGACUGGAAUUCCUGGUGUAGCGGUGGAAUGCGCAGAUAUCAGGAGGAACACCGGUGGCGAAGGCGGGUCUCUGGGCAGUAACUGACGCUGGAGGAGCGAAAGCGUGGGGAGCGAACAGG